GCCUGCAGCUAGCUCUCUGCAACUCUCACAUGGUCGCCCACUGAAGCUAAGAAGGGCUGUGCAGGCGCAGUACCUGGAUGGGAGACCCGAUGGGAAAGCUAGGUUGCUGCCGGAA
rfam:Danio rerio chromosome 9, GRCz11 reference primary assembly.